rnacentral:lncRNA from 1 species
CAGUUAGCUCCUCCUUCCCUUCUCAUUCCAUUAGCAAUUAGCUUCUUCUUCCCUUCUCAUUCCCACAGCAGUUAGCUCCUCCUUCCCUUCUCAUUCCCAUAGCAGGUAGCGCCUCCUUCCAUUCUCAUUCCCAUAGCAGUUAGCUCCUCCUUCCCUUCUCAUUUCCAUAGCAGUCAGCUCCUCCUUCCCUAUUCAUUACCACAGCAGUGAUGAGAACUGAAAUAGCAGAGGAUGAGAGACCCUGAAACUUCCUCUUUUAAAUUCUGCUCCAACACAAUGAUAAUUUCUCUAUAAUUGGAAAGACUGUGAAUUAUUGUAAAUGACUACUAUUCACGUAUGCUCUUUCUUUGUUUAAGGUGUAGUCAAUGUGUUGAUCUGACUGAAGGAGUGAUGUCUACAAGGGGAUUUACGUGAAGGAGUGAUGUCUAUGAGGGGAUUUCUUUGAAGGGGUGAUGUCUAUGAGGGGAUUUCUGUGAAGGAGUGAUGUCUAUGAGGGUAUUUCUGUGAAGGAGAGAUGUCUUUGGGGGGGUUUCUGUGAAGGACUGAUGUCUAUGAGGGGGUUCUGUGAAGGAAUGAAUUCUAUGAUGGGAUUUCUGCGAAGGAGUGAUGUCUAUGAGGGGGGUUUUGUGAAAGAUGAUUUCAAUGAGGGGGUUUAUGUUAAGGAGAGAUGUCUAUGAGAGGGUUUCUGUGAAGGAGUGAUGUCUAUGAGGGUGUUUAUGUGAAGGAGUGAUGACUAUGAGGGGGUUUCUGUGAAGUAGUGAUGUCUAUGACAAGGUUUAUGUGAAGGAGUGAUGUCUAUGAGGAGGUUUAUGUGAAGGAGUGACGUCUAUGAGGGGGGGUAUGUGAAGGAGUGAUGUCUAUGAGGGGGUUUAUGUGAAGGAGUGAUGUGUAUGAGGGGGUUUCUGUGAAGGAGUGAUGUGUAUGAGGGGGUUUCUGUGAAGGAGUGAUGUCUGUGGGGGGUUUAUGUGAAGAAGUGAUGUGUAUGGGGAGGUUUAUGGGAAGGAGUGAUGUCUAUGACGAGGUUAU